AACGAACGCUGGCGGCAGGCUUAACACACGCAAGUCGAACGCGUGUAGCAAUACACGAGUGGCGCACGGGUGAGUAACGCGUGGAUAUCAACCUUUUGGUUCGGAAUAACCCCGGGAAACUGGGGCUAAUACCGGAUGGUUCCUUCGGGAUAAAGAUCUAUCGCCAAAAGAUGAGUCCGCGUCCGAUUAGCUAGUUGGUGAGGUAAUGGCUCACCAAGGCGACGAUCGGUAGCUGGUCUGAGAGGACGAUCAGCCACACUGGGACUGAGACACGGCCCAGACUCCUACGGGAGGCAGCAGUGGGGAAUAUUGGACAAUGGGGGCAACCCUGAUCCAGCCAUGCCGCGUGAGUGAUGAAGGCCUUCGGGUUGUAAAGCUCUUUUGGCGGGGACGAUGAUGACGGUACCCGCAGAAUAGGCCCCGGCUAACUUCGUGCCAGCCGCCGCCGUAA
rnacentral:rRNA from 1 species